rnacentral:rRNA from 1 species
CGAAAGCGUGGGGAGCGAACAGGAUUAGAUACCCUGGUAGUCCACGCUGUAAACGAAUGAUCACUAGCUGUUGGCAAUACACAGUCAGCGGCUGAGCGAAAGCGUUAAGUGAUCCACCUGGGGAGUACGUCCGCAAGAAUGAAACUCAAAGGAAUUGACGAGGGCCCGCACAAGCGGUGGAACAUGUGGUUUAAUUCGAUGCUACGCGAGGAACCUUACCUGGGCUUAAAUGCAGGACGACGUUCCGGGAAACUGGAACUCCCUUCGGGGCGGACUGCACGGUGCUGCAUGGCUGUCGUCAGCUCGUGCCUUGAGGUGUCGGGUUAAGUCCCAUAACGAGCGCAACCCCUAUUGUUAGUUGCCAGCGAGUAAUGUCGGGGACUCUAACAAAACUGCCCGUGUAAGCGGGAGGAAGGUGGGGAUGACGUCAAGUCAGCACGGCCCCUAUGUCCAGGGCUACACACGUGUUACAAUGGUCGGUACAAAGGGCAGCUACCACGCGAGUGGAUGCUAAUCACUAAAGCCGGUCGUAGUUCGGAUCGGAGUCUGCAAUUAGACUUCGUGAAGGCGGAAUCACUAGUAAUCGCGCAUCAGCAACGGCGCGGUGAAUACGUUCCCGGGCCUUGUAUCACACUGCCCGUCAAGCCAUGGAAGUUGG